AAGAAGUAUUUUAAGAACUUUUUAUCAAUUACAUUGAAAUCAUGAGAGGGCCUGGAUGUUAAUCGCGUGUAUUUUAGUGUGGUGCCAGGCGCGCUGUGGGAUCUCAGACUUGUGUGUUGAAGGAGGACAUGGCACCAGUGAGAGCUGGCGCUGCAGGGGAGAGUGGGUUCCUGCUCUGCUGAGAUCAGUGUCCAAGUGUCCAGUGGAGGCAUUCAGAUGCAGUCCCUACAAUGACCGUAAAAAUGAUGAUUCUUCUUGUCCUUCAGAGAAAGAACAAAAUGUGCAGUCUGCUAUUCAUGAAGAAACAUGUCCUGUGACAAGAGUGAAGUUUAGCAACAGAAUGGAAACUAGGAAUAAACGUAUUUAACCUUUGGAUUUCUAAGAGAAAAAUAAGAAAAGAAGCCUCCCGCUGCCACUCUCUAACUGUGCGAGCUCGGACACACCUUUCCUGACCCUCAGUUUCCUCGUCUGUAAAGUGGUGAUAAUACUGCCUGCCCCACAGGGCUGACAUGAGAAUGAAAUGAUCUAAAAAUCUGUAGCACACAGUUCCUGGCACAUAGUGAGGGCGUCAUAAGGGUUGCUAUUAUACUCAAUUUGUUUUUUCAAGAGGGGGGAAAGUGAAACCCAAAAUCACCUUUCCUUCAACAGCUUUCGUAUAAUUCCGAGGCAAAAGUUUUGAAAUAUACUUUGGUACAAUUCCCAUGAGUGUUUAAGAAACCCACAUGGCAGCUCAACAGUGAUUCAUGAAAGCGGGUGUGAGGACCACACGUGGAAGCCCAUGGAGUGCUCGCGGAAGGGUGUGUCUCCCAGAUCUGCUGAAUCAGGAUUGCUGAUCAAUUAAUGUUAAAUCAACGUAAACACAAAUGUUUGAAAACCUGGGCAAUUCAAGAAUUGAUUGAAGGAAACGCAUAUUAAAAACGACUACAGAGAAUCCCAUGGCAUUAUCUGACGUUCCGUGAAGAUGCUUCCAGUGAGCAUUUGAAGGUCUUGUUGCUAUUGUGCGGGUGGCACUGAGACCCCCAGGACAGGAGGCAAUGCCGCUGUGCUGCAAGCCAGCCGGGAACCUCGAGGAGCCUUCGGCGUCUUCCUGGUGGAAGAUCAAUAGCUUUGGCGUUUAUAAAUGGCUGGGAAACACACGUUUACUGACUAUAACGGCACAUUCCUACUUUUUUCCAUGCUGAAUUUGUUGGUGAGCAAGAAGCUGUCAUCUUCUAGGUUUUGAGCUUUGGCUCAGGUUUCAAUGAACCAAAGAAGAGGCAAUAAACAAUAUUAAAUUUUUCUUUAUUUUUAGAGAAAAUAGACACUGAAUUACAAGUGGAGUGAAAUAUAGAAGGCUCAGAAGAUAGAGAGCCUAUCUAGUGUAACUUGUUUUGAAAUUAAUAUAUGGCAAUUAUAGAAACUUUGGAAAUUGCAUAAAAGUAUGAAGAAUAAAAUUUCAC
rnacentral:lncRNA from 1 species